AUACGGAAGGUCCGGGCGUUAUCCGGAUUUAUUGGGUUUAAAGGGAGCGCAGGCGGAGAUGCAAGCGUGACGUCAAAUUUCGGGGCUCAACCCCGUCUCGCGUCGCGAACUGCGUCCCUUGGUUGCGGGAAGGGGAGGCGGAACUCGUGGUGUAGCGGUGCAAUGCAUAGAUAUCACGAAGAACUCCGAUCGCGAAGGCAGCCUUCCGGCCCGUCAACGACGCUCAUGCUCGAAGGUGCGGGUAUCAAACAGGAUUAGAUACCCUGGUAGUCCGCACAGUAAACGAUGGACACCCGCGGUUUGGCCUAUAUGGCUGAGCCGCCAAGCGAAAGCGUUAAGUGUCCCACCUGGGGAGUACGCCGGCAACGGUGAAACUCAAAGGAAUUGACGGGG
rnacentral:rRNA from 1 species